rnacentral:misc_RNA from 1 species
AAUGGGUGAUCUCCACGUCACAAAUUAAAUUAAUGCUUCUGCUUAACCAUUCGUUUAACUUGUUGGAUGAAAUGGUUACCUUUGAGAAGAUAUUUUUGGAUAACGAUAAAAUUGCUCUAUUUGCGACCUGAAAGUCAUGAGUUCAAGCUACAAAAAUAAUCUCUCUACAAGUCUUUAAAUCAUUACUCUUAUUCUUUGCUCAUGCAUGAAUAAUU